UACGUAGGGGGCAAGCGUUGUCCGGAAUUAUUGGGCGUAAAGAGCUCGUAGGCGGUCCGUCACGUCGGAUGUGAAAUUCCAGGGCUCAACCCUGGACCUGCAUUCGAUACGGGCGGACUAGAGUUCGGUAGGGGAGACUGGAAUUCCUGGUGUAGCGGUGAAAUGCGCAGAUAUCAGGAGGAACACCGGUGGCGAAGGCGGGUCUCUGGGCCGAUACUGACGCUGAGGAGCGAAAGCGUGGGGAGCAAACAGG
rnacentral:rRNA from 1 species